rnacentral:misc_RNA from 1 species
UUGUUGAGCUUCAACAGCAGCCAUAGAAGUAGAAGCUUCUUUGCCCAAGGUAGCCACGUUUGACUUUAGGUCCUUAAGUUUUGCUUCAGCAGCUUCCAUCUUCGAUACACUUUCCGGAUUACCAUUGGAUUCCCUCACUUUAGCCUGGCGUCUGGAAACUUCUAUAGCCUGAGCUUCAGCUUCCUGUCUCACUCUAUCAUAACGUUGAGCGAGAUGUCGAGCAUCUUCCAG